UGGCGGCUUGUACAGUACCGAGGGCAGUCAGAAUAUGAGGAAUACUUUGACGCACUGAUAAUGCCGCUUGCACCGGUGGCAAUGGUAUUUUACGCGAUUUAGUUGAACUUAGGCUUGGUGCUUGGGUUGUUGA
rnacentral:tRNA from 1 species